rnacentral:ncRNA from 1 species
UGCUCGCACGACCCUCGGGGUAGCCUGAGCGGGCACAUCCCUGCGAGACCAGGAACCCGGUGCCAUUCCGGGGCGGUUCCGCCACUGUGAAGCCGGCGCCAGCGCCGACCAGCCAGACACUGGCCGCGGGGAUCUCCGACCA